AAUGAUCAUGCAAGUUGAAUAUGAGCUGUGUGUUAGUCCCCCUCUCACACUCCUGUGGGCCAAAUGGGAAAAACAGGACCCCAGAAGAGACAACUGCUUAUUGUACACUCCUCAGAGGAAAAGAAAAUGUACGUGUAUUGGACUCAGUGUUGCCAUGGUUAAUUCUUCUGUUUCUGUUCUGUUUGAGAAAUGCUUGUGCUGUUUCCUUGUUAAAUCCAAAUUCUUGUAUUUAAAAGGCCACGGCCUUCGACUAUGGGCUCUGUUUUGGGGAACAGUCUGCCCUUUUGAGGGCUACGGCAGAAGAAUCGGCCGUUUGUGUUGACCACGGCAUGUCGUGAAGACGAACCCGACAGAGCACAAUGAGCCCAUCGAACUGCUGUGUUUUUCAGCAUUUGUGUCUGUGAUCAGUAAAUUGACUCUGAGCUGUUUUUAGGAAGCGGAGCACAGAGGAAGAGGAAAAGGAGCUCUUGGAUAGAAGAAUGCUGUGAGAUGCUCGAGAUGCCAUUUUUGGAUUUGAUGCCAAUCUUGAGAACACUGGGUGUGAGCUGGGAAAACACCCUGAAUGGUAGACCUGACAGGAAAUCUUGCUCACAUCUCCCGGGUGAUGCUGAGCGAAUGCUGGCUUCCUCGUUCCGUUCUCCUCUGAGGCAUGGCCGAGCCCCUUGUCACGUUUUGCUAACCGAAUGCAUGGUGAAGAGCUGAGAGCGUGGGCUUGAUGGCAGCGGAUAUUGCCUACUGUCGGGCCUGUCGAGUCAGCUGUGUGUGCUGCAAUUCUGAGAUGGAGGCUCAGGGACUGUGUGUGUGUGUGUGGGUGUAUUGGUGGGUGGUUAGAGCAUCAUGAAAACCUUCUAAACAUGCUGACAUUCAUUUCAAUGUGAGGGGACACUGCUUAGCACAUCUGUCUCUAAAAUACUCUUACUAUCACUCAGUGGUGCACAUAAAGCUACUGCAUUCAUGGAUAAAACUAAGCUUUACAGCGUUCUGCGGAUUUUAUAACGAAGCAGGAAACAGUAAAUCUCCAGCUAAUAAACAGAGAUUCGUCUGUAUCCGCAACAGGGAAUUAACAACGAUUGUAACAUCAGCUCACCUGAUGUGAUAGUCUGUUUUAAUACGCUGGAAAUGUCACAGAUAUAUUAUGCAUGUGUUUAUAUUUUAUUAUAAUUUGGUUAUAAUACCUACUUUAGAUGUGGAGUCAUCAUUUGUAUGGGAGACGAUAUGGGAAA